rnacentral:lncRNA from 1 species
GUCCCUGGGGCGGCGGGGCGGGGGCGCAGGCCGGGGCGGCGGCGGGCCUGAGGGGCGCGGGCGGCGCGGCCUGGUGGCGGCGGGCGGACAACGACUAACGGGCGCGGGGCGCCAUGUUGGGCCGCGCCGGGCUGCACCUGUGCCGGCUGGGACGCCUUUGUUCCCCGCCGGCGCUGGCGGUCUUUGUGCGCGGGCGGGCGAAGCCGGGCGGGGGCGGGGGCGGGGGUCCUUGCCCUCCCGGCGGGGACACGCGCGGCAGCCGUUGGGCCCCGGCCCGUGGCGCGCAGGUGGAGCCCCAGGGUGGGCGCCGCGCCGCCGAGCCGACCUGACCGCAGGCCGCGAGUGCGGACCCCGCGACGGUCGGGGGAUAGCCGGGAGCAGGAGCGGGGGUUUAAAAUCUCGGCCUUUAACACACGCUGGCGUCGAGUCCGGCGGGAGGAACUGGGAUGGGUGUUCCCUGGGACCCGCACAGCCGGAGCUCCCUGGGCUCCCGAGAUCAGGACGGGCUCUGACGUUCGGGUGGAGAUGGGAUCCGAGUCGAGGUUCUGGUACUGGUCACUUUCAGCUGCCAGCAGUCUUCAGUUUUGGGUUGAUGGUUGGUAGAGUGAGAACUACUGCUCACUUCAGAGUUUGUGUAAGCUUUUGUGAAGAACUCCACUCUACUCAGUGGGGAAAUCCAGCUUUGUGAUUUCAACGGCCUCAAGCAUGCCAGGCAGGUGCUCUGAACUACAUCCCCAGCCCUGAAGAUAGAAGUCAACUCAGUCUUUGGUAAGAUAGGUAAAGGAAAAAGAGAAAGUACAAAUGCCCCGUGUCAGACACAAAAAGGAAUUCUUUCUUGCAGCCAUUGAAAGGACAAGAGAAUAUUUGUUAUAACCAAUUUUAGAAGUUUAGAUGAAAAAGAUAAAUUAGUAAGGAGAACAUUACCAAAAGAAUUCCAAGACAGAAAGUCUGUAUAGGGUUAAAAAUGAGAAGUGGUAGCUGGGGAUUCAGUUCAAUGUUUCUGCUGCCUGCCUCAUA